AGCCAAAUAUUUACAUUUUGUAACUUGAGCUUGUGUACAUGUUGGUUUUGUGUGCUCUGUCAUUGCUCUCCCUAAACCUGUAAGUGAGUGUUUUGCAAGUAAGAAAAAUCGUGCAGGGGACAGUGUGCAAGUGGCCACAGCUACACCACCAUCGGCAGUACCAGAAAACAACUGCACCAAAAAAACAGUCGAAGAGGCUGCUUGCUCAAACCAAGCGGCUCAGCAGACGGUGCCUGAAUUUUCCUUGUGUGAUGGUGGGCUGUUCCAUCUAUCCAGGAACAUUUUUAUCUCACAGGAGCAAGCAGCUAAGCUGUUCAAAAAUAAGAAAGCCACAAUAUUGGUUAGAGAUGCUGCUCAAGUUGUGUGGGGUUUCCACACGCUUGCGCAGAGAAGUGUGAGCGGUCGGUUGGCACCCACAAAAGCCAACAGUGGGCUGGAGCCAUCCAAACAGCUCACGCCGAAAAAAGUGGAGGUUAUUUACGGAUGCCUGGCCCACUGGGGCAGUGUGAAUAAUGUGGAUACCACGCUGGCCCACCACAACGUCAUGCGCACUUUAUCAGAAAAAAUUCAAGACUGCAAGAAGAAGCUGCGCAUGAAUUGACAUUGCAAAGCUGCACCUAUGUGACGUGAUAUGUUUGAGUUAAAUACAUAUUAGAUCUUACACCACAGUCGUUUCUUUAUUUGCACAUGAGCUACUGGUGAAAACCACGUGCCGCAGUGCAUUUUUUUCUAGGUUCCAGCAAGUUGAAAGUAGCUGGUGUCAUCUGUUGUCCGCGGUAAAUCUAGGGGACCGCAGCAUUAAAGCUAGGAUCACUUUCUCUAGAGGCAAAAAAAGGGCCUAUUUUUCAACUGCGGUGACCGGUGCUGUGUACCACCACGGACUGUGGAUCUAGCUAGAACCUCUUCCAGCCAAAUUCCAGCUAGCAGUUCUUGCAGCUGGAUCCAGCUGGGAGACAUUCCAGUUGGGAGUCAUUCCAGCUGGAUUAUGGAACCGGAAAUUUUCUCCAGCUGGAUUUUUUCCAGCUGCCUUCCCAGCUAGAAAAGUCUCCAGCUGGAUUUUUUCCAGCUGCCUUCCCAGCUAGAAAAGUAUCCAGCUGGAUGAAAUUUCCGGUUCCAUAAUCCAGCUGGAAGUAAAAACUUUUUC